rnacentral:rRNA from 1 species
UAGUCCAUGCCGUAAACUAUGAUUACUCGAUGUUAUGUAUAUAGUGUCUAAGCGAAAGUUUUAAGUAAUCCACCUGGGGAGUACGAUCGCAAGAUUGAAACUCAAAGGAAUUGACGGGGGCCCGCACAAGCGGUGGAGCAUGUGGUUUAAUUCGAUGAUACGCGAGGAACCUUACCUAGGCUUAAAUGUAAUUUGACAGUUUGUGAAAACAAAUUUCCCUUGUGGCAAAUUUCAAGGUGCUGCAUGGCUGUCGUCAGCUCGUGCUGUGAGGUGUCGGGUUAAGUCCCAUAACGAGCGCAACCCCUAUCUUUAAUUGCCAGCGAGUAAUGUCGGGGACUUUAAAGAAACUGUCCGUGUAAACGGAGAGGAAGGUGGGGACGACGUCAAGUCAUCACGGCCCUUACGUCUAGGGCUACACACGUGCUACAAUGGUAAGUACAGAGUGCAGCUGCUUGGUAACAGUUGGCUAAUCACUAAAGCUUAUCUCAGUUCGGAUUGAAGUCUGCAACUCGACUUCA